CUUAUCUCGAUCUCAUCUUCUCUUCUUUCAUAUACUUUAUUUUGUUAAGUUUAUUUUGUUUGAGAAUUUUUUUUAUGAUCUAAUUUUGUGUUUUUCUCCUAGAUGACAAGUGAAAGUGAAUAUGUCUUGGUGGACGUGCUCGGAUUAGGUGCUGCCGAGAAGUCACCUACUGGGAGCUCCCCUCCCAGUGGUAACAGCACAUCAUCUUCCGAGAAUGAAAAAAACAGGGAGCGCGGAUUCCAUUUGGAAUCUCCGAAAAGAGAAGAACAUGACAAAGAAAGUUGAAAGGAUCGAUUUGAUCUCUCGGGUGUGGAGGAGCCCCACAUAGCUGAGUUACUGAAGGAUCCAUCAUUGGGGGAAUUAUUGACCUCAAGCAAUUUGUAUCUACUUUUAAUUAAAGGUGAUAUUGUUGAUGAUGAUAAGGCAUUCAUUACUGAGACUAAGGAGCUGCUCCACUACAUAAUUCCAUUCCUUGGAGUUAAACAGCAGGAUUGCCCUCCAAUUUUGGAGAAUAUUUUGGAUGUCUGCAAGUCCGCUCAUCCUCCUCCUCAGAGGAUCUCGUUUGGUCAGCAAUUAUUACUGUUCCAUUACUCCAACCCAACUUUCGGUAUCUGUGUCCCCUCAUAUCGAGGCUGACACUAGCAUAUAAUAAUAUAAUAUUAUUCAUAUUAUAUUAUUAUAUAUGGGUUAAACCUAGUAUCAUUAUACUAAAUUUUUAUUAUAAGAUAGAGUUAAUCCCAGUUGCUUUCUAUAUUUCAAGGAGGACUUUUAUGAUACGUCAGUCAAUAUCCAUUCACUUUGAAUCUAAACCCAUUGCAUUAAACAACAACAAUAUUUAAAAUGCAGUUUUUACAAGAGAUCCAACUUUCUUAACAAGACAUUAAAAAAAAAAUAACAAUGCUCAAGACAUUAAAUCUUGAGUGUCAGCCUGGAUAUGAGGGGACUCAAUAUCCAUUCACUUUGAAUCCAAACCCAUUGCAUUAAACAACAAUAAUUUUUAGAAUACAGUUUUUAUAAGAGAUCCAACUUUCCUAACAAGACAUUAAAAAAAUAACAAUGCUCAAGGCAUUAAAUCCUGAGUGUCCCCUCAUAUCGAGGCUGACACUCAGGAGCAUUGUUAUUUUUUUUAAUGUCUUGUUAGAAAAGUUGGAUCUCUUAUAAAAACUGCAUUCUAAAAAUUAUUGUUGUUUAAUGCAAUGAGUUUGGAUUCAAAGUAAAUGGAUAUUGAGUCCCUUCAUAUCCAGGCUGGCACUCAGGAUUUAAUGCCUUGAGCAUUGUUAUUUUUUUUUAAUGUCUUGUUAAGAAAGUUGGAUCUCUUGUAAAAAUUGCAUUUUAAACACUGUUGUUGUUUAAUGCAAUGGGUUUGGAUUCAAAGUGAAUGGAUAUUGACUAACGUAUGAUAAAAGUUCUCCUUGAAAUAUAGAAAGCAACUGGUAUUAACACUAUCUUACAAUAAAAAUUUAGUAUAAUGAUGCUAGGUUUAACCCAUAUAUAAUAAUAUAAUAUGAAUAAUAUUAUAUAUCUAAAUUUUUUUAUAAAUUAAUUUAACUAAGUUAAACAAUGAAAUUUAAAAAAUAAUAUUCAUAAUGGAAAAAAAAUGACUUAAGUUAUAUUACAAUUGUAAGUUUUAAUUACACUACUUCAUAAUCAUGACUUCUCAACUUGUUAACUAUUUUUCAGACCUUGUUAAUUUGACUUCAUUAGUUCAUUAAUAUAAUACUCUCGGCCCGAAGCAAAAGAAUCCUAAUUCUCAAUCAAACUCUUGGGUAGCCUUUAUGCUUAUAUCUACUUUUUAGUGUUAGCCCACAUCUUUAUUCCAAAUCAAUUCAUUCUUUAUAGUGAAAUAGUGAUGGGCCAAAAGUUUUGAAUCCU